rnacentral:rRNA from 2 species
UUGCUGGGUGGAUUAGUGGCGAACGGGUGAGUAACACGUGAGUAACCUGCCCCUGACUCUGGGAUAAGCGUUGGAAACGACGUCUAAUACUGGAUAUGACUACUGGUCGCAUGGCCUGGUGGUGGAAAGAUUUUUUGGUUGGGGAUGGACUCGCGGCCUAUCAGCUUGUUGGUGAGGUAAUGGCUCACCAAGGCGACGACGGGUAGCCGGCCUGAGAGGGUGACCGGCCACACUGGGACUGAGACACGGCCCAGACUCUACGGAGGCAGCAGUGGGAAUAUUGCACAAUGGGCGAAAGCCUGAUGCAGCAACGCCGCGUGAGGGAUGACGGCCUUCGGGUUGUAAACCUCUUUUAGUAGGGAAGAAGCGAAAGUGACGGUACCUGCAGAAAAAGCACCGGCUAACUACGUGCCAGCAGCCGCGGUAAUACGUAGGGUGCAAGCGUUGUCCGGAAUUAUUGGGCGUAAAGAGCUCGUAGGCGGUUUGUCGCGUCUGCUGUGAAAUCCCGAGGCUCAACCUCGGGCUUGCAGUGGGUACGGGCAGACUAGAGUGCGGUAGGGGAGAUUGGAAUUCCUGGUGUAGCGGUGGAAUGCGCAGAUAUCAGGAGGAACACCGAUGGCGAAGGCAGAUCUCUGGGCCGUAACUGACGCUGAGGAGCGAAAGCGUGGGGAGCGAACAGGAUUAGAUACCCUGGUAGUCCACGCCGUAAACGUUGGGCGCUAGAUGUAGGGACCUUCCACGGUUUCUGUGUCGUAGCUAACGCA